rnacentral:rRNA from 1 species
UACGUAGGGAGCAAGCGUUGUCCGGAAUCAUUGGGCGUAAAGCGCGCGUAGGUGGCUUCGUAAGUCCGUUGUGAAAGUCAAAGGCUCAACCUUUGAAAGCCGAUGGAUACUGCGGAGCUAGAGUACGGAAGAGGCGAGUGGAAUUCCUGGUGUAGCGGUGGAAUGCGCAGAUAUCAGGAGGAACACCAAUAGCGGAAGGCAGCUCGCUGGGACGUUACUGACACUGAGGCGCGAAAGCGUGGGGAGCGAAACAGGAUAGAA